UACGUAGGGGCCGAGCGUUGUCCGGAGUUAUUGGGCGUAAAGCGCGCGCAGGCGGCCUCGCGCGCCCGACGUGAAAGCCCCCGGCUUAACCGGGGAGGGUCGUUGGGGACGGCGGGGCUUGAGGGCGGGAGAGGUCGGUGGAAUUCCCGGUGUAGUGGUGAAAUGCGUAGAGAUCGGGAGGAACACCUGUGGCGAAGGCGGCCGACUGGGCCGACCCUGACGCCUGAGGCGCGAAGGCGUGGGGAGCGAACGGG
rnacentral:rRNA from 1 species